rnacentral:lncRNA from 1 species
UGCAGUUGGCCGGUUACUGAGCUCGUGUGGUCACCUCAGGGGCGACAUUGGGUGCAGCGGCGCGGCCAAGCCACGGCCGCGACGUGGUGGGUGUGGCAGCUAGGGGCGAGAUGCAGGAAGAUAGCGCCGGCGUGCGGUUGGGCGAAGGGAGAUGCGGAUGCAGAGGAUAGGGAUGCGCUCGCGAGUUGGUGGGGCGGAGGGUCGGGCUGACCCGUCGCGUCGG